rnacentral:rRNA from 1 species
GAUGAACGCUGGCGGCGUGCUUAACACAUGCAAGUCGAACGGAAAGGCUCCUGCUUGCAGGGGUACUCGAGUGGCGAACGGGUGAGUAACACGUGGGUGAUCUGCCCUGCACCUCGGGAUAAGCCUGGGAAACUGGGUCUAAUACCGGAUAGGACGAUGGUUUGGAUGCCAUUGUGGAAAGUUUUUUCGGUGUGGGAUGAGCUCGCGGCCUAUCAGCUUGUUGGUGGGGUAAUGGCCUACCAAGGCGUCGACGGGUAGCCGGCCUGGGAGGGUGUACGGCCACAUUGGGACUGAGAUACGGCCCAGACUCCUACGGGAGGCAGCAGUGGGGAAUAUUGCACAAUGGGCGCAAGCCUGAUGCAGCGACGCCGCGUGGGGGAUGACGGCCUUCGGGUUGUAAACUCCUUUCGCUAGAGACGAAGCGCAAGUGACGGUACCUGGAGAAGAAGCACCGGCUAACUACGUG